AAACCGUUCAGGGGUAAACCUGAGAAACCCAAAAGAUCGAAUGGGGAGAUUCAUCGUCAGCUCAUUGUGUAUAUAUAUGAGGUAUGAUAUGGGUUACUACUUGUAGUAUUGCUUAUACAUUCUUGUAUAUUUUAUUGCAUGGUGUUGUCGGCGUGCACUUCUCCCCUAGUAGGACGUCGCGACCCGUUGAGUGUCGGUCUACGGCCCAAGUGGUAGCCUUUAAUUUUUUUAUAAAAUUAAAGACCCUUGGUGUUUCCUGACUGGCUAUUCGGCGGUAUUCGUACGGUAUUAAGCCGCAUUUUUGCGUUCAUAUCCGUCGCAAGCGCGGUCAAUUUUUGGCAGUACGGACCUAGUGCCGUCGCUAUUAUUGAUCAGCUGUUGGUUGUACGGUAUUCUAGAACUGGCUUAUAAUUAAUAUACCGGUCAGCGAUGCUUCAGCUUUGGGUACUUUCAGGA
rnacentral:rRNA from 1 species